CUUUAUUUAAUUUUAUUUUUUGGGAGGGAGGGUGGAAGGGGGGUGUUUUGUUUUGUUUUUCUCUUCUUCCUUUCACAAUGUAACUUUAGGUUUUAAGAGGGGAAGGAAAAUAAAAAAAAAAUAGGGAAAACAGAGAAAACAGAUUGGUGGGAUCAUGUCUUAAGACAAAGGGGCAUUCAAUGAAAUUAGAAGGUGGUAAAUUCAAAACAGAUAAGAGGAAGUAUUUUUAUAUGUGAUAGGUCCCGACUAAGGAGCUUGUCACCGCAGGAGAUGAUGAAGGACAGCAAUGUGGAUCUGAAGUGGGACUGGUUACUUCAGCACUUGGUGGUACUCCAGGAUUAGAUUUGAACAUCCCUGGAACAAACCAGUGAUGCGGAGAAGAUCAUUCAGGGAGCCUGCAGCAGCGCCAAAAUAUGAGCACAGGUCCUGUGAGUGGCAGCCAUGGGACCAUCCUUCCUCUCACAGCCAGGCUCGGGCUUCCAGGGCUACUCCUCAUGUGAACAAGCUCAGCCUGGCAGGUGACUUUGGCAUUGUUUUGCUGUGUGGGGCUACGUACGCACGUAGGAAGUUCACAGGGGAGAUUUUUCAAGUUUUCCUUUCCUGGAGAGUGAUCUGUAAACAUGCUGUCAAAGCCAAGCAUUUGAUUUUUCUGUUGUCCUCACGGCAACACGCUGAGGAUCAGCUGUGCGCCAUGGCCUUCCCCCCUUCAGAAAACUUGGAGAUUUCAAGGAGGGAAUUGUAAUCCAUUGUUGGAUACCAGUUCUGUCGGGUUUCCUUCUCUGCUGAAAACAGCCGACAGGAAAGUAAUUACAGAAGCAGAUGUGACUUGUGACGUAAAUGUUACUUCUGGCCAUUUUUUGCCUUUUUUUUUUAACUAAUCCAACAGAGUGAUUCCAAAGCAAAAGUCAACUGGUACAUGAGACAUAUGAGCCUAUGGUGGUAAUUUCAAGCUUUUCCUUGGCUCAGUCAGGUCCAGGGACAAUUUGCAAUACCUUACCAAUCAUUCUUUCAAAUUAAAUUAGUCAGUAAGAGAAAUUUUCAGAGCAGCUUCAAUAUGUGCAUCCCAUGUAACUGCCUGCAAUGAAUCCCACCACUCUGUCCACUGACUUACUGAUGUCUCUGUCCUGAGCAAGAUAUUGAAGCGUUCCUUGUAAUCCUUUGGAUUAAUAAAUCAGUAAGUAUUUUCCA
rnacentral:lncRNA from 1 species